rnacentral:rRNA from 1 species
AUGGACGCAACACGGCCGUUAGAUUUGGUUAAUGCCUCGCUGAAUGCCACUGCUGCUUUGUCCUCAAGUUGCCGCAACGCCCGGAUGCGUGAGCGCGAAGGUGGCAAUCCUCGCAGCGCAACCGCCGCUGCGGCCCGCUCCAUUGCAGGGCCACCGGCAGCAGCGCCGCCACCCGCUCCAUUGCAUCGUCGCUGGAAGCAACGCCCCUCCAUUGCAUCGUCGUCGCCGCGCCGCCGGAAGCAGCGCCACCGCUCGCUCCAUUGCAGCUGCAUUGCAGAGUCGCCGCCCGUUACAUUGCAGCGCCGUCAGAAGCAGCGCCGCUCCAUUGCAGGAUCGUCGUCGGGCCGCCGGAAGCAGCGCCGCUCCAUUGCAGGAUCGUCGUCGCGCCACCGGAAGCAGCGCCGGCGUACUCGACGUGUUGCGCCACGGGCAGCAACGCCCGCUCCAUUGCAGCGUUCCCGACCUUGUAUGAAACGCCGAUGA